CAUUAACAAGGCUCUUACCCUCGCUGAGGAACAGUUUGCUCAUUUCUAAAGUGGAAUCAAUGACAUUAAUUUACUGACUUAUUAUGAUGAUGUAAUAGGAUGAUAUACAUCAAGUAUCUAAAGUAGCUCUUGGCGUGAUGGAAAGAAUUCAUACUGUUUUAUCCACCAUGCAAGAUGUUUUGCAUUGGUUUUGCCAAACCUAAGGGCAUCACACCUUUUUAAGAAUCAAAUUAAUGCUAUGUAUGCUGACCUCCAUGCAUGAUGACUGUUUAUAUUCAGAUAGACUCUGCUGAAACCCUGCAGCGAUAAACUUCUACAGCCUGCUUAUUCUGUCGAUCAGUCUCCAUUUCCAAAUAUGAAAAAGGCCAGGGAAGUUUGUCCUCUUUUGAAUUCUCAGCUUCCCAGGUCAUGAAACUGUCCUUCCCCUUAUUAGAGGUGUUCCCUAAGAAGAGAGAAAUCCUAAGCUGCAACUUGAAAAAGAUGACAGUAUUCACAAGAUAGAAGAUAAGGAAGUCAACAUUUCUGGGGAGGAACUCCCCCACCUCCCCAGAUGAAGAAGAUAAGCAACCAAGAGAAAGAAAAACCUAUCACAAAGUAAGAAUGACCCCUAACAUUUAAAGGGCCUGGAGGAAGAACACAAAGGGAGGCCCACAUACUGCAAUGGCAAAAUAUUUUAACAUUACAAUUCAAACUAGGAAACUAUUGACUAAAAUGGAUUCUAUCUUCUUAUGUUGAUGGAUACAAGAACAAUGUAAUGACAAUCCAGAAGUCCAGGUGUCAAUUUAGAAUCUUUGGGCCCCUUGGAGUUCUUUGCUGGAAUUGGCAGAAGAGGGAAGCCUUACUCCAGCCUAUUCUUCCCAUCCCUGCAUUAUGAGGCUCCUAAUGUGUGUGGACACAUCUUCCUACAUUUCCAUGUUCAGUCCACAACUCAGCUCUUGGGGGUGUAGAGGCCAUUGGUAAGGUCCACCUCUGAGAAAAUGGACCCAGGAGAGAGGACUGCACAGACCCUAGAAGUGGGUUUAGGGCCACCUGGGUCAGGAAUUUGGGGGUCUAGUAUAUCUUGAGCAUGGCCUAGAAGGGGGCAGGAGUUCAAGAUCCAGUUGGGAAUGUUUCUUGGUACUUUGCACAACUGACUCAUUAAUGAGAACUAAAAUGGGACCAAGAAGUAACACAAUGAGCUCAGCAAAGCACAGGGUUAAGGCAGGGGCGGCUUCUGCCUGGAUCUAGAAACAGUAUUGCAAGGAGAAGUAUCAAAAAUGCUGUCUUACAACCCAGAGAUCCUGUUUGGGCAUCAAAGUUCCUCUUUGUUGUUUCACCAGCUUCAGGUGGCCCCAGUCAUAUCAGAGCACACGGGAGCCUUGCAUUUGGCAUAGACACAAUUUCAAGAAGCGUCCUUAAAAAGUGGUUGUUGUGGUUUUAAUGUUAAUCAUUUUAAUUUUUCAAUCAGUUAAAGAUCUUUCAAACUCUCAUGCAGUCCACAUUGUCUAUACCUACCAGGUCAUACAUGAAGAUUCAAACCGCCAUAAAACAAAGAAAAAAAUUUGAGAUUCCAUUUCAUUUCUCCACUGACAACACACAAACACACACACACAGUUGAAGUAGCUAUUUAAUACCGUCCUAUUUACAAAUUGUAUUCACCAGCAAAUUGAGUCUAAGAAGUUCCUUCUCUGCCUUCGCCUACCCGUUUGGCUACUGAGCUUGCACAAUCAGAAAACCCUCAAUCAGUUCAAAAUGGAGAGCUUCCUUCUGCAAACUCACUCUACAAAUUGCAUUAGGCUCCACAUCACAUCUCCCCUCCUUCAGCCCUAGUGGAUAGAACAAGUUUCUCUGAGAGGAUCAUUUCUGUUGACCGAACUUUAAGUUCUUUUCCCAGAUCCCUAACAUGAGUUGACUGAAUUUCUUGAAGCUUUUGUGUGUAAAGGUUGCAGAAUGUCAAUUCUCUAGUGAUGGGAUUUGGAAAAAGGAAUGAAACCCAGAGCCUUUACUCAUAGUGUACGAGGCACCUCCUUUUAUUACUAAGUAUUUCCACAACAAUAUUAGGGCUAUUUGCCAUAUUCCUUUUAUCCAAGGAUCUGACACCAUUUCUCUUUUUUCUGAGGGUGUGGUCCCAAAAUCAUACAAGUAAUAAUCAGCAGCAUUUAUUGAGAGCCUCUGAGGUUCCAAACAUCGUGCUUUGUAUUUUUUAUGAGUUGUCUUCUAACCUUAUACCAACCUUAUGAAAUGAUUAUGGUUGCUAUUAUUUUUAUGACUACUGCCGCUGUUGUUGUUUUUAUUGAUGUUAAAGUGAUAGAGAUGAGAAAGCUGAAGCUUGGAGAUGCUAAGUAACUCAUUCAAAGUCACACAGCUAGUAAGCUGCAAAACUGUGAGCUUACACCAGACAUCAUGACCAACUCCAGAGGCCUUCUACAGCAGGGCACAAAUGCCCGAUAGCAUUUGUAAAACAAAUUUCUGGGAGACACAAAGAGGAGGUGGAUAUUCUUCUGCCUCUUAGUUCCUUAACCUGGAGGGAGUUUAAAGGAGACAGAACCAAAGCGGAGUAACACAGACCAUAUUUACCCUCCCACCGGAAACAACUGAAAAUAAGGAAGAAUUUAUGAAUCUAUAUAUACAGCUUUGAAGACAUUGGACAUUAAGCAACUAAAGUGAAUGAUAUCUGAGAGACGGGAAGCAAAUGAGGCGAACCCUAAGUUUGCUCCACCUCACUCCCUUGAGUGAGUUCUUGGGCUACAGUACAGAGGAAAAACCAUUCUACUCCUAUUUACUCAAGAAAAAUAAAAACAUAUAUCCAUACAAAGACUUGCUCAUGAUGUUUAUGGCAACGGCUGUGUUCAUCAGAGCCACAAACUGGAAACAACACAAAUGUGGGAAGAAAAUGUAACAUAUCUAUACAAUGGAAUAGUACUUAGUAUAAAAAAGGAAUAGCAAUUGGUAUAUGCAACAAAGACAUAGAUUUCAAAAUAAUUAUGCUGAGUAAAAAAAAAAAACUAGACAAAGACGGGAACACAGUACGUUUAUAAUUUAUAUAAAAUUCUACAAAAUGCAAAUGAAUCUCAGGUGACAGAAAACAGGCCUGUGGUUGCUUGAGUGCAGGAAAUGAUUGCAAUGGGAGAUGAGGAA